rnacentral:lncRNA from 1 species
ACAGCAUGGAAGGGGAAGCUGUAAUGGAGAAAUGCUACUUUGUCAUCUCUUCUACUGAGUCAAUAUUGGAUGGAGUAGAAGUAUCUCCCCAGGUUGGAGGAGGUGGAUGACGUCAUCCUCGAAGCACCCACGUUUCAUGGGAUGUGCACAGGAGCUCACUGAAAAUGUAUUGCGCGACCAGGCUUGUGAAGGAAACAACAGUCUACUCGAAAUUGCAGUCUUACCUCGUGGGGCAUCUCAGAGGCUUCAACGCGUUAAUAAACAUUUGAAUCUUG